rnacentral:rRNA from 1 species
AUACAGAGGGUGCGAGCGUUAAUCGGAAUUACUGGGCGUAAAGCGCGCGUAGGCGGCUUAUUAAGUCAGAUGUGAAAUCCCCGGGCUCAACCUGGGAACCGCAUCUGAUACUGGUAAGCUAGAGUUUUGGAGAGGGAAGUAGAAUUUCAGGUGUAGCGGUGAAAUGCAUAGAGAUCUGAAGGAAUACCAGUGGCGAAGGCGACUUCCUGGCCAAAACCUGACGCUGAGGUGCGAAAGCGUGGGUAGCAAACGGGAUUAGAAACCCUAGUAGUCC